UACGGGGGGGGGCAAGCGUUGUUCGGAAUUACUGGGCGUAAAGGGCUCGUAGGCGGCCAACUAAGUCAGACGUGAAAUCCCUCGGCUUAACCGGGGAACUGCGUCUGAUACUGGAUGGCUUGAGUUUGGGAGAGGGAUGCGGAAUUCCAGGUGUAGCGGUGAAAUGCGUAGAUAUCGUAAGGAAGACCAGUGGCGGAAGGCGGGUCUGCGUGGACAGUCCUGACGCUGAGGCACGGAAGGUCAGGGGAGCAAACGGG
rnacentral:rRNA from 1 species